UUUUUCUUAUUAUUUGGAAACAAUUAAUUUCAACCAUUUUUUCUCCAAAUUAUGCAAACCACUGCUCUUGUCUUGUUACCCCCUCACUCCAGGGAAAAAAGAAAAAGAAAAAAGAAAAACUGCCUUCCACGGUAGCCAAUAACAUUCCUCCUCCCCACGCCGCCUUCCGACCCGACCAUCACAGUCCAACAACCCAAAUCCACCAAAUGGAACUAGAACUGAGACAAGCAUUUUCCACGGGUCAACAGGGGCAAGUGAGUCUAGAUUAGCCCAAGGGUAGGACUGUGAGUGAUACUGGUGUAAUUACAGUUAGCAACUUCGAAGGUCCAAUUGGAGGAGAUUUUGGAGUCCAAUUACUAUAAUUACAUGUUCAGAUACUCCAAUAAAGUAAUUACCGCGACAAUAAUCGCUACAAGCAAGACAAUUCAUUAAGACAGAGAUGGUGCUGGGCCGGAUUAACUAUAAGAGCCAAACAGGGCUUGGGCAGAGUAGAUACAAUAAGCCGACCACGGAUGUUAAAGUGAAGAUCCUUCAUCCAUGCUGGCCUGCAAGCGUGACAGAGCCAGCAUAACUGCAUAAGGAGCAGAGAAGAAUCUCUAUCACCACCAUCGUCAUGGUCAAAAAUUCAAGAUUUUCGAAAGCAUACUCCAGAGUUUUUAAUGCAGACGUAGGGGACCACCAUACGCUUCUAGCAAUUCCUAUUCAAGAGUUUGGUCUGAUCAUAACCCAGAGAGACUCGAAAAUUAGAAAGCAGGAAAACGUUUCAUACUUCAGCAGUCGAAUUACCUAAACCAACUGAGAACAACACUUUGGCCUUCAAGUCAAAUAUAAAACAUACAUCAGCAUAUUCUAAAUAUGCUACAGAAAAUGUUUCCAGUGGUUUGAAAGACCUCAUUCCUGGAAUAGUUGAUCAUAUGACUCAAGGCACAUGUAGCUUGCACUGCUAUGUUUUCUCUUUACACUUUAUUACGCAUUUAUAAGGUAUGUACCAAUGCUUGUCAGGUCUAUGUACUCCUAAAAAGCAAGAAAAUGUUUCAGGACUUUUGUUGCCAUUCCUGAAUUGCAUAGUAAAGAGCGUAGUUAGGAAGCAGAUCGCAAUGAUCGAGCUGUAGGUUUGUCAUAGGUGAAGUCUUGUGACCGCUGUUCAGCCAUCCUUUUAUUGCAUCGCCUUCAUAUGUAAAA